rnacentral:rRNA from 1 species
GACGAACGCUGGCGGCGUGCUUAACACAUGCAAGUCGAACGGAAAGGCCUGCUUUCCCUUGUGGAUUGCGGGUACUCGAGUGGCGAACGGGUGAGUAACACGUGAGUGAUCUGCCCCCAACUUGGGUAUAAGCCUGGGAAACUGGGUCUAAUUCCCGAUAGGACUGCAGGGUGGUGCCUGUGGUGGAAAACGAUUUUCUAGUGGUUGGGGAUGAGCUCGCGGCCUAUCAGCUUGUUGGUGGGGUAAUGGCCUACCAAGGCGGCGACGGGUAGCCGGCCUGAGAGGGUGGACGGCCACAUUGGGACUGAGAUACGGCCCAGACUCCUGCGGGAGGCAGCAGUGGGGAAUAUUGCACAAUGGGCGGAAGCCUGAUGCUGCGACGCCGCGUGGGGGAUGGCGGCCUUCGGGUUGUAAACUCCUUUCGACCGCGAGGAAGCCACCUGGUGGGAAGGGUGGUGACGGUAGUGGUAGAAGAAGCACCGGCUAACUACGU